AUUGAACGCUGGCGGCAGGCCUAACACAUGCAAGUCGAACGCGUGGCGGACGGGUGAGUAAUGUCUGGGGAACUGCCUGCUGGAGGGGGAUAACUACUGGAAACGGGAUCUAAUACCGCAUACCAUCAGAUGUGCCCAGAUGGGAUUAGCUAGUGGGGGGGGUAACGGCGCACCAGGGCGACGAUCCCUAGCUGUUCUGAGAGGAUGAUCAGCCGAACUGGCACUGAGACACGGUCCAGACUCCUACGGGAGGCAGCAGUGGGGAAUAUUGCACAAUGGGCGCAAGCCUGAUGCAGCCAUGCCGCGUGUAUGAAGAAGGCCUUCGGGUUGUAAAGUACUUUCAGCGGGGAGGCGUUACCCGCAGAAGAAGCACCGGCUAACUCCGUGCCAGCAGCCGCGGUAAUUC
rnacentral:rRNA from 1 species